rnacentral:lncRNA from 1 species
CGCCCGCCGCCGCCCGCCUCCGCCCACCUCCUUCCCGCGCAGCCGACCAGGCAGCAAUUACGCUUUGGGGAUAAAACGAGGCGCGGAGAGCAGGCCGGGGCAUUCCUCCCCGAGAUGGCGAUGGCGGGUCUGACGGCGGCGGCCCCGAGGCCCGGAGUCCUGCUGCUCCUGCUGGCCCUCCUCCACCCCGCGCAGCCCGGAGGGGUCCCAGGGGCUGUUCCCGGUGGAGUUCCUGGAGGAGUCUAUUAUCCAGGGGCUGGUCUCGGAGGCCUGGGAGGAGGAGCUCUGGGGCCCGGAGGCAAACCACCCAAGCCAGGUGCAGGACUCCUGGGGGCAUUUGGAGCAGGGGCAGUUACAGACCCAUCUUACAGAGGGACUGCCUGAGCUUCCCAAGGCCCAGGCCACGCAAUUAAGAAGUGAGUGGGGCCAGGCACAGUGGUGCCCACCUGUAAUCCCAGCGGCUCAGGAGGCUGAAGCAGGAGGAUCGAAAGUUUGAGUCCAGCCUCAGCAACUUAGUGAGGCCAUAAGCAACCUAGUGAGACCCUGUCUCAAAAUAAAAAAUAAAAAGGGCUGGGUUUGUGGCUUGGUGGUUAAGCAUCCCAGGUU